CCUACGGGAGGCAGCAGUGGGGAAUAUUGGGCAAUGGAGGCAACUCUGACCCAGCAACGCCGCGUGAAUGAUGAAGGUCUUCGGAUUGUAAAGUUCUGUGAUGGGGGAUGAACACAAUGACGGUACCCCAAUAGCAAGCCACGGCUAACUACGUGCAAGCAGCCGCGGUAAUACGUAGGUGGCAAGCGUUAUCCGGAAUGACUGGGCGUAAAGGGUGCGUAGGUGGUUUAGUAAGUUGGCGGUGUAAUUCCGGGGCUCAACCGCGGCGCUACCGCCAAAACUAUUAGACUAGAGUGCAGGGGGGGUAAGUGGAAUUCGUGGUGUAGCGGUGGAAUGCGUAGAUAUUAGGAGGAACAUCAGGGGCGAAGGCGACUUACUGGACUGUAACUGACACUGAGGCACGAAAGCGUGGGGAGCAAACAGGAUUAGAUACCCGAGUAGUC
rnacentral:rRNA from 1 species